UACGGAGGGUGCAAGCGUUACUCGGAAUCACUGGGCGUAAAGCGCGCGCAGGCGGCUAUUUAAGUUGGAUGUGAAAGCCUACGGCUCAACCGUAGAACUGCAUCCAAAACUAUUUAGCUAUAGUGUGGGAGAGGAAGAUGGAAUUAGUUGUGUAGGGGUAAAAUCCGUAGAGAUAACUAGGAAUACCAAAAGCGAAGGCAAUCUUCUGGAACACUUCUGACGCUGAGGCGCGAAAGCGUGGGGAGCAAACAGGAUUAGAAACCCUAGUAGUCC
rnacentral:rRNA from 1 species